rnacentral:rRNA from 1 species
UGGGGAAUAUUGGGCAAUGGGCGCAAGCCUGACCCAGCAACGCCGCGUGAAGGAAGAAGGCCCUCGGGUUGUAAACUUCUUUUAUCAGGGACGAAGAAGUGACGGUACCUGAUGAAUAAGCCACGGCUAACUACGUGCCAGCAGCCGCGGUAAUACGUAGGUGGCAAGCGUUAUCCGGAUUUACUGGGUGUAAAGGGCGUGUAGGCGGGGUCGCAAGUCAGGUGUGAAAUUCCACGGCUCAACCGUGGAACUGCGUUUGAAACUGUGAUUCUUGAGUGAUGGAGAGGCAGGCGGAAUUCCGUGUGUAGCGGUGAAAUGCGUAGAUAUACGGGGUAACACCAGUGGCGAAGGCGGCCUGCUGGACAUUAACUGACGCUGAGGCGCGAAAGCGUGGGGAGCAAACAGGAUUAGAUACCC